ensembl:misc_RNA Metazoa_SRP Metazoan signal recognition particle RNA
GCUGGGCGUGGUGGUGCGUGCCUGUAAUCCCAGCUACUCAGGAGGCUGAGGCAGGAGAAUCGCUUGAACUCAGGAGGUGGAGGUUGCAGUGAGCUGAGAUGGUGCCAUUGCACUCCAGCCUGGGUGACAGAGUGAGACUCUGUCUCAA